CGAACACGGCUGCUCGGGCUCUCUCUCUCCCUGCCAGCCGCCAGGAGGCACGCGGCCCACGCGGCGGCGAUCGAUCCGGUGACCUACACAGUUACACCUUAGCUCCUCCUUUGCCCCGCGUGCCCGAGCUCCUCCUCUCUCCCGCGCGCCCGAGCUCCUCGUUGUGCUCCGCCCGGGAGGGCUUGCGCUCGCCGCUCAACCAGAGCCACCGCCAGCUGGUCGUCGUUGCACUUGCCGGCUACCUAGCCGUCCCAUCUGCACUGCCCUCCACCUCAAAUUUGUAUGCGUAUGUGUUUGUGGAUGUUCUCAGUUAUUUUUUGCACACAAGGUGUUUGUGUGUUUGUCCGAGCCAGUUUCAGUCACAGAUCCUUGAGGUAAACUCCCACAUGAAUACAACAUGAGAGUAACUCUCCUUCCAUAUGAUUCAAAACAUGUUAUGAUGGUGGGAGCUAAUCGGGUUAUUAGAAUAAUGGUUUGCUAAUUAAUUUACAUUGUGUGGAGUCUCAAGACACAUGGGUACGCCGGCUCCUAUUGCUUAACAAAUGUAUAUCUGCAGAUUUUCUUUAAUUGUACAAAGAAGUUACAGUUAGGUGUUGACCUUUUUUUGUGCCUAGACACAGCAGCUCCAACAAGAUCUGGGCGCUCAUAAUGAGAUAUAUAUGCAUGCUUUUUGUUUUUGCCGUGCCUUGUUUUCUGUUUAUCUUUGUUGCGCCUUUUUAGUUUUAAUUGUUGUUUACCUUCAUCCGACCGAAUUGAGCUAUCAGAGGUGCCGCGGUCUUUUGGCAAACAUGCUCUAUAUUUUAUGGUUUGGCAUCUACAGGAUGCCAUCUCAGGUCAUGGAUCCACUGUGGCUGCUUCGUCCUUCACUGAGAUCAGAGAGAAAAUUAUAUUUUGGAAGAAGGAACCCAUACCUCAGAAGAUGGGUGAGCUGUAGGAUUCGAUUCUGGUCAACUUGAAUUAGUUUUUGCCCAUCAUGUUCUUUGUAUUAGGAAUUCAGAUGCCUUCCAGCUCUAAUCUUUUCGUAUUGUUGGUGCAUGCUGGGAGUCACAUUGUUAUGCCUGCUAGCAAACCUUAGGAUUGGAAGUCUUACCCUGUAGGUUAUUAAUAUCUUUCCACUAUAUUGAGGUUCAGCAAUUUAAUUCAUAUUAAGGUCACACAAGCAGUUUUGUUUUCGGAUUUAUCUUGGCAAACAUAUUUGGUACAUCAAUUUAAUUCGUAUUAAGGUCAUAGAAGCAGUUAGUUCCAUUACACUUGGGUCACCGACGGUUGUCGUGCUACUAUGCUCCUCUCAUGUUGUAGUGGCUAGCUGCUGCAAUUCACGGAUCAUGCUCUUUCGUGGGAAGGAGGCUAUGGCUUUCUCAAUUGAUCAGAACAACCGAACCCCACAUAGUUCUUUUCUAGAUAUAUAUUGUUAUUUCUGAUACUGUGUGGACCAUCAGAAACCUGAUGUGUGUGUAUGUGUGUGUAUCAUAGAAUAUCUUGCUAUUUAUGUAUGUUGCUUCCCUUUUAUUCAUGUACUACUUCUCUAAAUAUAAGCCACUUCUUUUCUAUUGUUAGCACCAUCUUUUGAGGUUAAUGCGCUAAAAGUCUAAAGCCUUUCCCUAUGCAAAAUGAUGAUAUUAGAGCUAUGCGUCUUAUAAUCCCUAUUGUAUAUGACAAUGCGAUAUUCAGUUAUAUUAUGUUUGUAGCAUGGCAUUUUUUCAUUCCUUUUUUCCGAUGUAUCACAUGGUAAAUUAUGAUGUACAAUGACUGCUCUUGGAAAAAGUUUGGAAUUCGGUUAGGGAUUCUACAACAAACUAGGUUUUAGGAUCUGAAUCUAAAUGACCUCUUCUUCAGUUCAGUCCUAGCAAAAGCUGAUCAGAGAAACAAAGAAGCAACAACGAAUGGGUCCCUUUCUUGCCCAAAAGAGUUGUCUGUGUGCAAGUCAUGAACCUUUUGUCCAUCAAUACAAGUGCAGGAUUUGAACAAGUUUAUUCUGACCUUCUAUUGGGAGUUUAUAUUAUACCUUUCAUGCGAAGUAGUUACAUUUAUCGCAUGGAAGACGAUGCCCAAAGAUUGGAAGGUGGAGAGAUUCAGACUUUGGAGGAUGUUAAUAUUCUCAAAGGUUUUCAAUUAAACAUGUUGAAAUCUUCCAUGUAGCUGUGAUUGUUCUCUCCGGACAUGGAGGAUCAGUUCUUGGGCAAAUUUAUUUGUCUGUUGUAUGACUUGCGACCAUUUUUUCUAAAUUUCUAUUCAUAUGUUAUCAAACCAUAAAGAUUUCAAUAUCUUAAAACUUUAGUAGAAUUAAUCUGCCUGUAUUUCUGGACUCUAGCAUUUUGUGCUUGGUGGCCUUCUUCGCCGACUUCAUGGGCGUGUCAGCCCUCAUCUCCACUUCGACAUCGACCACAUCUACGACCACGACACCUGGCACCUUGGGUAUGAUUGUGAUCUGUGCAAUGGGUGCAUAGUGGAAGGGGUCGUCCUUCCAGUUCAGCAGGGGCUGCACCUUCUACCGCAGUUAGCCCGCCCCGCAUUGGCAGCAGCGGAUUCAGAUUGUGUUUGGAGAUGGUGGCCGUGAGGAGGAUUUCAGGGGAGAUCGUACUGUGACUAUAACAAGAGGCUGAUAUUUGACCUGCACUGUAUGCGAAAAGAAGGUUCAGGAGCUCCAAGCCAACAACCGCCAGAGCUUUGAAGCUAUUUUUACAACUAAAGUGAAGAUACUGUGAUGGUGUGUAAUUUUCUGGAAACGUCGAAGACGAAUUUCAGGAAGGCACCCCUUUCUUCUUCAAAGGCCAACGUAUUUGGGAAGCAGUUAUUAGGGAACUUUUAUCAAAAGGGUAGUUGAUUCUUUACAAGUGUUUGGAGCAACCAAAAUUCAAGCCAUACGCUGGAACCCUCAAGUGAGUACGAAUCAAAUGAACGAUGCCCGAAGAACUCAGGUGCAUUUCAAAAUGUUAUAUUCCUCCCACAUUCAGCCAACUGGAGUAUCCUGCUCUCCCUUCUAGAGGUUCUACAUCCUUAUUUUACGAAUCAGGUGCUUGCAUUCUAUUGUAUCAAGAUGUGUAAAAAUUUAGUAAGUUGUCUGCCGAUUACCAGGUUCAUUGACUUAUGAAGGAACUAUUACUCAUGAAAGUGUACAUGCAAUGAGUUAUGUAGUUCUCAUAUUUUUUUUUUACCAAAAGACAAUUGACUUUACUUGGUUCAGUUUAUUGUUCUGUAGUAAUCGAUCAUAUAUUCGUAGU